UGAGUUUGGUUUUGCCCAUCUGAAAUAUCUGUAAAGACUCUGAGGACAGAACAGAUACUUUGGAGUUUUCUUCAAACUUGCAUAGCUCAAGGGAAUCCCAUUCAGGAUGCCACAUUACAUUCAGUAUGUCUUCUUAGACUCCUAUGGGCUGUGACAGUAUCUCAGAAUUUCCUUGCUUUUGAAUAUAUUGAGUUUUGGUAAGGUAUUUUGUAGACUAUUCCUCAAGUGGAAUGUAUCUGAUGUUUUUCUCAUGAGUAGACUGGGUUUAUGGAUUUGGAGAGGAAGACCACCAUAUCAUAUCAAGGGUGCAUGCUAUCAAUGUGACUUCUCACUGUUGAUGUUUGAUGGAGGUAACCUGUUGGUAACCUGACUGAGGUAGUGUUUGCCAGAUUUCUCCACUAUGAAGUUACUUUUCCCCUCGCGUUCACACUGUGCUCUUUGAAAAUGAGUUUCUAUACACACGCCAUACUUAAAGAAUGGGGAAUUAUGCCUCACCUCUUGGAGCGUAAAGUGUUCACUGU
rnacentral:lncRNA from 10 species